GCGGUGAUAGCUCAGUCGGUAGAGCCUCAGACUUUUAAUCUAAGGGUCCAGGGUUCAAGUCCCUUUUCAGGCU
rnacentral:tRNA from 1 species